rnacentral:tRNA from 2 species
GGCUCAUUGGUCUAGUGGUAUGAUUGUUGCUUCGGGAAUUCCCCGGCCAUAAAAUGGCUUCUGAAAUGUGACAGGCCUCGGGUUCGAAUCCCGAAUGAGCCC